rnacentral:rRNA from 1 species
CCUACGGGAGGCAGCAGUCGAGAAUCAUUCACAAUGGGGGAAACCCUGAUGGUGCGACGCCGCGUGGGGGAAUGAAGGUCUUCGGAUUGUAAACCCCUGUCAUGUGGGAGCAAAUUAAAAAGAUAGUACCACAAGAGGAAGAGACGGCUAACUCUGUGCCAGCAGCCGCGGUAAUACAGAGGUCUCAAGCGUUGUUCGGAAUCACUGGGCGUAAAGCGUGCGUAGGCUGUUUCGUAAGUCGUGUGUGAAAGGCGCGGGCUCAACCCGCGGACGGCACAUGAUACUGCGAGACUAGAGUAAUGGAGGGGGAACCGGAAUUCUCGGUGUAGCAGUGAAAUGCGGAGAUAGCGAGAGGAACACUCGUGGCGAAGGCGGGUUCCUGGACAUUAACUGACGCUGAGGCACGAAGGCCAGGGGAGCGAAAGGGAUUAGAUACCCCUGUAGUC